AGGCAUCAACACCCUUUCAAAUUAACCUCACUUGAUCACAUUGCUGUCUCAGAAGCUAACCACUUAAAUUUCUUCCCCUUCUAAACUAUAAUCACCUCCCUUUUCCUUCCCCUAAUCUUUUCUCUUUCCCCAGAUCAGCUUUCCAUGGCCUCAGUACAGGUGCUGCCUUUUCUUUUUUCCCUGUAACUUCCACACAUAUAAUUAUUUAAAUAUAGUCUAUAUAUAUUUUUUCCCUGGAAAUAUGUAACAGUGGUAAUUUAUAUCUCAGGCUGAUACACCCGUCCAGGAGGUAAGCAACGAGCAAGCUGAAAAAGCAACACAGGAGACUCCCGUUCUUGAAGAAAAGCCAGCCACCAGCGAAGAAGCUGAAGUAGUAGUGCACGAGGAAGACGAUGAAGAGGAAGAGGAAGAAGAAGAAAAGCAUGAAAACACCCAUGAAGAGGAAACGCAAAAUGAAGUGAAAGAUGAAGAAAAUGCAGGGUCACCAAUUAUUGGUGAGGCUGAACCACCUGCUUCUUUUGAUGGUGAAGA
rnacentral:misc_RNA from 1 species